rnacentral:tRNA from 1 species
GGGGCGCUGGCGCAAUUGGUAGCGCAACGGUUUUGCAUACCGUAGGUUAGGAGUUCGAGUCUCCUGCGCUCCA